UCCAUUUCUAUUUUUCAUUUUUUAAUCUUUUAAUUUUUUCAUUAAAUAUCAAUAAUUUUUUAUUUUAAUUUCUUUUCAAUUUUUCUUUGUUUUCAUUUUUCCUUUUUCCCUCUUUCCAUUUCUCGUCUGUUGUCGGUAAGUGGAGCAACAGCGGGCGACACUGGAGCGCCAAUCUGGCUGUAGCUGCAACUUAGAUCUGGCCGUUGGAACGUUGAUUUGGCAUUGACAGCGGCCGGAUCUGGUCUUUGAAGGGUCGAUCUGUCCAAUGCGUCGCCAAAUCUGACGCUUCCGUGGCCAGUUCAGCGCUCCAACGGCCAGAUCUUACGGCAACCAUUGUCGGAUCGACACUCCAAUAUUGCUGCUGUUUCUUUGAGGGUCAACGACGGAGAACUUGGCAAAGACGACGACAGAGGAUGGCGGUGGCUGUGAAGGAGGGCCGUUGCAAACUUGCUUAGAGAGAGAAGAGGUGGGAGGCACAUCAAGAAGAGAGAAAGAAAACGAGAAAAAAAGACGAGUUGUAAUUAUUUCUAUUAAAUCAGCUGUGGAAUUGGGGAAUGGCUAUUUGCAACAAUAAAAUGCAGCCAAACAAAAGAAUAAAAAGUGAAAGAAAUAAGGGGAAUGACUUGGCUAUUCUCCCUAGGUUUCUUGAUUUGGAGAAAAUUUUCAUUCUCAACUUCUUUUAUGGCUCUUAAUUUUGGCUUAUCAAUUUUUCUUUUAGUGUAAUUAUAUAUGUGCCUUUUGAUAACGAUGGCCGAUGUCCCAAUUCCC
rnacentral:lncRNA from 1 species